AAUCAACGCUGGCGGCGUGCCUCAGACAUGCAAGUCGAACGAUUAAAGCUCUCUUCGGAGAGUGUAUAGAGUGGCGCACGGGUGAGUAACACGUAAGUAAUCUACCCUCGAGUGGGGAAUAACGUCCGGAAACGGACGCUAAUACCGCAUAAUGCAGCGGCACCGCAAGGUGACAGUUGGUAAAGAUUUAUCGCUUGAGGAGGAGCUUGCGGCAGAUUAGCUAGUUGGUAAGGUAAUGGCUUACCAAGGCUACGAUCUGUAACCGGUCUAAGAGGACGGUCGGUCACACUGACACUGAAUAACGGGUCAGACUCCUACGGGAGGCAGCAGUCGGGAAUUUUGGGCAAUGGGCGAAAGCCUGACCCAGCAACGCCGCGUGAAGGAUGAAGUAUUUCGGUAUGUAAACUUCGAAAGAAUAGGAAGAAUAAAUGACGGUACUAUUUAUAAGGUCCGGCUAACUACGUGCCAGCAGCCGCGGUAAGAC
rnacentral:rRNA from 1 species